rnacentral:rRNA from 1 species
GGAUAACUACUGGAAACGGUAGCUAAUACCGCAUAACGUCGCAAGACCAAAGAGGGGGACCUUCGGGCCUCUUGCCAUCAGAUGUGCCCAGAUGGGAUUAGCUAGUAGGUGGGUAACGGCUCACCUAGGCGACGAUCCCUAGCUGGUCUGAGAGGAUGACCAGCCACACUGGAACUGAGACACGGUCCAG